CCGACUUGCAGGCGGUGGUGGUCCGGCCUCCGUGGGCGGGGCCGUGGAAGGAGCGGAGGCGUUGCCCCGCAGAGGGCCCGCUCGGGCUCAGCCUUCAAGGGCCGCCAGUGCUGACAACCGUUGAGCGUGCUAGGAGGCCGUUGCUUUCCCGAGGGGCUCUCUUCCAGGCUCGGUCCGGUGCCGGCAUGGCCCGAGGAAAUCAGCGAGAACUUGCCCGCCAGAAAAAUAUGAAGAAAUCCCAGGAAAUUAGUAAGGGGAAAAGAAAAGAGGAUAGCUUGACCACGUCUCAGAGAAAGCAGAGGGACUCUGAGAUAAUGCAACAAAAGCAGAAAGCAGCUAAUGAGAAGAAGUCUAUGCAGACAAGAGAAAAAUGAUGACUAUUUGGAAAAACCUGGGUGCUACUGCCAACUAGGUGUAUCAUAAGCUCUAAGGUCAAAAUUUUGUGGAGCAAACAGUCAUAUGUUAUAUCCUUAUAAGACUAUUUUAAACUUUACCUUUCAGCCUGACUUAGUGUAAUGUUUCAGAACCAUUCUUCAAAGAAUAAAACACUAACCAUUCAUGUGA